rnacentral:rRNA from 1 species
UACGAAGGGGGCUAGCGUUGCUCGGAAUCACUGGGCGUAAAGCGCACGUAGGCGGAUUGCUAAGUCAGGGGUGAAAUCCUGGAGCUCAACUCCAGAACUGCCUUUGAUACUGGCGAUCUUGAAUCCGGGAGAGGUGAGUGGAAUUCCGAGUGUAGAGGUGAAAUUCGUAGAUAUUCGGAAGAACACCAGUGGCGAAGGCGGCUCACUGGACCGGCAUUGACGCUGAGGUGCGAAAGCGUGGGGAGCAAACAGG